rnacentral:rRNA from 1 species
UUUUAUUUGAGAGUUUGAUCCUGGCUCAGGAUGAACGCUGGCGGCGUGCCUAACACAUGCAAGUUGAGCGAUUUACUUCGGUAAAGAGCGGCGGACGGGUGAGUAACGCGUGGGUAACCUACCCUGUACACACGGAUAACAUACCGAAAGGUAUGCUAAUACGGGAUAAUAUAUUUGAGAGGCAUCUCUUGAAUAUCAAAGGUGAGCCAGUACAGGAUGGACCCGCGUCUGAUUAGCUAGUUGGUAAGGUAACGGCUUACCAAGGCGACGAUCAGUAGCCGACCUGAGAGGGUGAUCGGCCACAUUGGAACUGAGACACGGUCCAAACUCCUACGGGAGGCAGCAGUGGGGAAUAUUGCACAAUGGGCGAAAGCCUGAUGCAGCAACGCCGCGUGAGUGAUGAAGGCCUUCGGGUCGUAAAACUCUGUCCUCAAGGAAGAUAAUGACGGUACUUGAGGAGGAAGCCCCGGCUAACUACGUGCCAGCAGCCGCGGUAAUACGUAGGGGGCUAGCGUUAUCCGGAUUUACUGGGCGUAAAGGGUGCGUAGGCGGUCUUUCAAGUCAGGAGUGAAAGGCUACGGCUCAACCGUAGUAAGCUCUUGAAACUGGGAGACUUGAGUGCAGGAGAGGAGAGUGGAAUUCCUAGUGUAGCGGUGAAAUGCGUAGAUAUUAGGAGGAACACCAGUUGCGAAGGCGGCUCUCUGGACUGUAACUGACGCUGAGGCACGAAAGCGUGGGGAGCAAACAGGAUUAGAUACCCUGGUAGUCCACGCUGUAAACGAUGAGUAC